rnacentral:rRNA from 1 species
CAUCGAUUCCAGUCGAUGCUGCUGGAGGGCACUGCUAUCAGAUUUCGACAGCCAUGCAAGUCGGCUCAACGGCUUCGUUGGGCGGCGUACGGCUCAGUAACACGUAGUUAACCUAACGUAAAGAGGCGAAUAACCUCGGGAAACUGAGGCUAAUGCACCAUAGGCUAGAACACCUGGAAGGAGUACUAGUCGAAAGGGGCGCAAAUCGCAGCGUUUCCGCUUUACGAUGGGACUGCGGCGGAUCAGGCAGAUGGCGGGGUAACGGCCCACCAUACCGAUAACCCGUAGGGGAUGUGGGAGCAUAGGCCCCGAGAAGGGCACUGAGACAAUGGCCCUAGCGCUACGGCGUGCAGCAGGCGCGCAAACUCCACAAUGCGCGUAAGCGUGAUGGGGGGAAUCUGAGUGGUUCACUUAGUGAACCUUUUGCCAAGUACAGCAAGCUUGGAGAAUAAGUGCUGGGCAAGACCGGUGGCAGCCGCCACGGUAAUACCGGCAGCACAAGUGGUGUCCACGAUUAUUGGGCUUAAAGCGCUCGUAGCCGGCCGAUGUCGUCUCGCGUGAAAUAUUGGCGCUCAACGUCAAUGCGGGCGUGAGAUACCCAUCGGCUAGGGAGCGGGUGAGGUCAGGAGUACUUAUGGGGGAGGGGCUAAAUCCUGUAAUCCCAUAAGGACUAACAGUGGCGAAGGCGCCUGACUAGAACGCAUCCGACGGUGAGGAGCGAAGGCUAGGAGAACGAAUCGGAUCAGAUACCCGAGUAGCCCUAGCAGUAAAUUAUGCAGACUCUGGUGUUGCAAGCAUCACGAAUGCUUGCAGUACCGUAGCACAAGUGUUAAGUCUGCCGCCUGGGGAGUACGGCCGCAAGGUUGAAACUUAAAGCAAUUGGCGGGGGAGCACACAAGGGGUGGAUGCUGCGGUUUAAUUGAAUCCAACGUCGGAAAUCUUACCAGAAGCGACGGCAGGGUGAAGGUCAGACUGAAGAUCUUACUUGACAAGCCGAGAGGUAGUGCAUGGCGACCGUCAGCUCGUGGUGUGAACUGUCCGGUUAAGUCCGGUAACGAGCGAGACCUUUGUCAACAGUUGCCACUGGCUUAGAGAUAAGCCAAGCACUCUGUUGGGACCGCCUCUGUUUAAAGAGGAGGAAGGAAAAGGCGACGAUACGUCAGUAUGCUCUGAAUCUUCUGGGCAACACGCGGCAUACAAAGAGUGGUACAAUGGGAUGCAAUGCCGAAAGGCAAAGCUAACCCCCUAAAACCACCCUAAGUUCGGAUUGAGGGCUGAAACUCGCCCUCAUGAAGCUGGAAUCCCUAGUAAUCGCUUGUCACUAUCGAGCGGUGAAUACGUCCCUGCUCCUUGCACACACCGCCUACCAAGUCACCCAAGUGGGGUCCUAGUGAGGCAACGCCUCUGGCGUUUUCGAAUUAGGGUUCCGCGAGGAGGGCUAAGGUAUAACAAGGUAUCCGUAGGGGAACCUGCGGAUAGAUCACCUCAAA